UGGGGAAUAUUGGACAAUGGGCGCAAGCCUGAUCCAGCAAUGCCGCGUGGGUGAAGAAGGUUUUCGGAUUGUAAAGCCCUUUCGGCGGGGACGAUGAUGACGGUACCCGCAGAAGAAGCUCCGGCUAACUUCGUGCCAGCAGCCGCGGUAAUACGAAGGGGGCUAGCGUUGCUCGGAAUGACUGGGCGUAAAGGGCGCGUAGGCGGUUUGCACAGUCAGAUGUGAAAUUCCUGGGCUUAACCUGGGGGCUGCAUUUGAUACGUGUAGGCUUGAGUGGGGAAGAGGGUCGUGGAAUUCCCAGUGUAGAGGUGAAAUUCGUAGAUAUUCGCAAGAACACCGGUGGCGAAGGCGGCUCACUGGUCCGGAACUGACACUGAGGCACGACAGCGUGGGGAGCAAAC
rnacentral:rRNA from 1 species